rnacentral:tRNA from 1 species
GGUCUAUUAGGUUAAUUAUAUUUAAACUUUCAGUUUGUGGUACUGAAGAUUUGCUAUUUAAUAGUAAUUAGGCUA